rnacentral:lncRNA from 1 species
UGUAUGAGCUCUAGCCACAGUGCAGCCGACCAGGGCUGACACUCCUCAGUGAUGGAGCUGCCUGCCCUGGGGUGGGCAGUGGCUGCUAGAAGCUGAAGUUUGCACCCUGGGAAACAUUUCAGGAAACCUCUUGGGGUGAAUAUUCAGGGUUUUGCAUGAUUUGAUGCUGGAAGUUUUAUUAGUGAUAUUUUGCUACACUCCUGCUACACUCCCUUAGAAUUAACUGGUUCAGUCUUAAAUGCCUGCAUGGUGCCUUUUUAGGAUAAGGUAUAACCAUAUAUUUUUAGUGGAGGAGUUUCUAAGUUAGGAAAGUUGAACAGCAUUUUUCCAUAAGUGGGGAAGGGAGUCUGCCGCUGUCUGGCUGGGCACAAAUCACGAGCCACUGAAGCAGGAACAAACUUUAUUUUUGAACUGCAAGAAAAAACAUCACACAGGCUCCUGGGGAAUUCUCCCGAAUGCCACCCGGCUUGUCCAGGAACCCCCAGCCGGAAAUAUCUCUCCC